rnacentral:lncRNA from 1 species
UGAUGAAUUUUCCGGCAAAUAUAACAAAUUUAAAUACCGAAAAAUCAAUAACAUUCUAUAACUAUAUCCAAGGAGGAAAAAAAACCAGAAUCCAAAUCAGAGAACAAAAGAAGACAUAUGCAGAUCAAUCCAUAUUAAAGCAUAACAUAAUGCAUAAUUAAGAGUUAAUAAAAUUGAAAUCCAAACUGUAAUUUAAAUUAUUUACUUAUUCAUCUUAAAGUUGUAAAAGUGAGCGUUUGAUAGGGAAAAUAAUAUCAAUUCAAAAUUAAUCAGAGAAAAAUUCUUAAGUGAAAAAUUUAACACUAAUUACAGAACUACAGUUUUGAACCAAACAAAAUCAAAUAUAUAUCUUUGGAAGAAAAUACGGUUUUGCAUGAGGAGCUAAAUCAAAAUAGAGUUAGAAGAAUAUUUAGGAUUGCCAUUGUCAUGAAAAAAGUUCAUACCUGUAAUGGAGAUGAAUNNNNNNNNNNNNNNNNNNNNNNNNNNNNNNNNCAACUCCACAGAUAAGAUCAGAGGUGGUCGAAAACAGAGAUUUUAUGGGCGGAGUUGACCAUAAAAAUGGAGCUUUUGACAUCGAUGGUUUGGUAACAAACAAAGAAUAGUCUUUCGGUCAAGAGAUAAUUGAGGAGAUGAAGAAAACCGAGUUUUUUGUGGUAAAGCGAGGUCUACCUCGCCGGUGGGUGGCGAGGGUAAGUUCGCGGCGGCGAAUGAGGAGGGAGAGCGUAUCAUUGUUCGUGACAAGGAAUUAGGGUUACAAAUGAAAGUAUGAGCAUAAGAGAAAGGAUAUGGCUUAAUCAGUGAUAUUGGGCUUGGCCCAAGUCUGUUAGUGCUG